rnacentral:rRNA from 1 species
GAUGAACGCUGGCGGCGUGCCUAACACAUGCAAGUCGAGCGAGAUAAAUGUGAGUGGAGACUUCGGUCAAAGCGAUCAUUUUGAAAGCGGCGGACGGGUGAGUAACGCGUGAGCAAUCUGCCCCAUACAAAGGGAUACCCACUGGAAACGGUGAUUAAUACCUUAUAAGACCACGAAGUCGCCUGGCUUAGUGGCCAAAGAUUUAUCGGUAUGGGAUGAGCUCGCGUCUGAUUAGCUAGUUGGUGAGGUAAUGGCUCACCAAGGCGACGAUCAGUAGCCGACCUGGGAGGGUGAACGGCCACACUGGAACUGAGACACGGUCCAGACUCCUACGGGAGGCAGCAGUGGGGAAUAUUGCACAAUGGGCGCAAGCCCGAUGCAGCAACGCCGCGUGAAUGAUGAAGGCCUUCGGGUCGUAAAGUUCUGUCCUAAGGGAAGAAUACAGUGACGGUACCUUAGGAGGAAGCCCCGGCUGACUACGUGCCAGCAGCCGCAGUAA